rnacentral:rRNA from 1 species
AGGUGCCGCCUGCCCAGUGACCCAUUCCCUCAACGGCCGCGGUAUCACUAACCGUGCAAAGGUAGCAUAAUCACUUGUCCCCUAAAUAGAGACUAGAAUGAAUGGCCAAAUGAGGGCCCAACUGUCUUUUAGGGUCAAUCAAUGAACCUGAUCUUUUAGUACAAAAGCUGAAAUAAGCCCAUAAGACAAAAAGACCCUGUGGAGCUUCAAAUAGGGCCCAUAAAAUCAAUCACCCUAUUUUAAGUUGGGGCGACUACGGAAUAAAACCAAACUUCCACGCAUAGGACCACUUACCCCAAAAAGAUUAACGCAUCAAGAUGAUAUCUUUUGACCCAGACUAAAGCUGAGUAACGAACCAAGUUACCCCAGGGAUAACAGCGCCAUCCUCUUCAAGAGCCCCUAUCACCAAGAGGGUUUACGACCUCGAUGUUGGAUCAGGGCCCCCAAGUGGUGCAGCCGCUACUUAAGGUUCGUUUGUUCAACGAUUAAUGCCCUACGUGAUCUGAGUUCAGACCGGA